rnacentral:misc_RNA from 1 species
GUAAAGAGCAAGUGGCGCGUUCCAGUGACUAUCUCGAUGGGCAAUUGACCUUUCGUGAGCGUCUGAUGGUGCGUCAUCACCUGAUGUUUUGCCCUAACUGCCGGCGAUUUAUCCGUCAGAUGCGCCUGAUGCAGGCGACAUUGAAGCUCAUGCCGGAGGAACCGGUCAGCGACGCUGAUGAUUUGGCUACACGGUUGGCAGCCGAGCGGUUGAAGGGUCAGUAAAGUCUGCGAAGGGCAGGCU